rnacentral:lncRNA from 10 species
AAUUAUUGUACUUCCUGAGGGCUUGGCUCUGAGAUUUGUUCCUACAUACUCUCUGUGGUUUCAAGCUCGCCUACGUUUGGACACAAACUAAACCAUUGGCUUGCCUAGGUCUCCAGCUUGCCGACCCACCUUGAAGAUCUUGGGACUCGUCAGUCUUCAUAACAGUGUGAGCCAAUUCCUUGAAACACAGUUUUUCAUAUGUAGUGGAUCUCCUAAUGGUUCUGUUUCUCUGGAAAACUCUAAUGCAGAUUUAUCUUUCCAUUCAGCCAUGUAUGACUUGUUACUAUACUACAAAUGCAGUAAGGGAAACAUAAAAAGACAGGACACUGGACCUACCUGCUGGGGCAAGAUAGGCUCCAGAGAAACCAAAGCAACAGCAAGUCUUAACCUCAUUUGGUCACUUAUUGGCCAUGUGAUCUUAAGUAAGUCAAUGAAGAUUUCUGAGUUUGAGUUUUUUCAUGUGCAAAAUGAUGAUAAAAUCUGGC